UGGGGAAUAUUGCACAAUGGGCGAAAGCCUGAUGCAGCAACGCCGCGUGAGUGAUGAAGGCCUUCGGGUUGUAAAGCUCUGUCUUUUGGGACGAUAAUGACGGUACCAAAGGAGGAAGCCACGGCUAACCACGUGCCAGCAGCCGCGGUAAUACGUAGGUGGCAAGCGUUGUCCGGAUUUACUGGGCGUAAAGGAUGCGUAGGCGGAUUUUUAAGUGAGAUGUGAAAUACCCGGGCUUAACUUGGGUGCUGCAUUUCAAACUGGGAAUCUAGAGUGCGGGAGAGGAGAAUGGAAUUCCUAGUGUAGCGGUGAAAUGCGUAGAGAUUAGGAAGAACACCAGUGGCGAAGGCGAUUCUCUGGACCGUAACUGACGCUGAGGCAUGAAAGCGUGGGUAGCAAACAGGAUUAGAUACCCUGGUAGUCCACGCCGUAAACGAUGAGUACUAGGUGUAGGAGGUAUCGACCCCUUCUGUGCCGCAGUUAACACAAUAAGUACUCCGCCUGGGAAGUACGAUCGCAAGAUUAAAA
rnacentral:rRNA from 1 species